UAUUGGGCAAUGGACGCAAGUCUGACCCAGCAACGCCGCGUGAAGGAUGAAGGCCUUCGGGUUGUAAACUUCUUUUGUGGGGGACAAGAGCGGAUGGUACCCCAAGAACAAGUCACGGCUAACUACGUGCCAGCAGCCGCGGUAAUACGUAGGUGACGAGCGUUAUCCGGAAUUACUGGGCGUAAAGCGCACGCAAGCGGUUGGCCAAGUCUGACGUGAAAUCUCCUAGCUUAACUGGGAGCGGUCGUUGGAAACUGGCGAGCUUGAGGCGAUGAGAGGGAUGCAGAAUUCCUGGUGUAGUGGUGGAAUGCGUAGAGAUCAGGAGGAAUACCUGUGGCGAAAGCGGCAUCCUGGCGUCGUACUGACGCUCAUGUGCGAAAGCGUGGGGAGUGAAC
rnacentral:rRNA from 1 species